AGCCUAAUUCUGCCAACUGCCAGCCAACUGCUGGCAGUUUGAAUCUCACCGGCUCAAGGUUAAUUCAGCCUUCCAUCUGAGAUCGGUAAAAUGAGGACCCAGAUUGCUGGGGCAAUAUGCUGACUCUGUAAAUGGCUUAGAGCGGGCUGUAAAGCACCAUGAAGUGGUAUACAAAUCUGCUAUUGCUAUUACUAGCCUAUGGAUAGAUUCAGAACACAAGAGAUGAAGUAUUUAUUUUGGUUCAACAAAGGAGUCCCAGAAAAUCAGUACCAUCAGUACCACAGAAUGGCAGUAGAUAGAUAUCUUCAGAUUCUUUGCAGAUAUUCAGCAACCAACCUAAUUUGUAGCCUGCAUAUUGGAAUCUUAUCAAAAGAAAUUUUAAUUUCUUCAUAUUCCAAGGAUAUGUUCAAGAAGAAACAAAAGAAAAGAACAGUAAGACGAUAUAUCACUAUCCAAACAGUGAACCCAGAGCCAGAUCAUCUUUUUCCAGUUACGCUCUCUGAGUUUCUUCAAGAGGGAUGCUGAAUGGGAUGCACUUUUUCACCAGCAGAGGGAGAGUUCUACCAACAAAUCAGGGCAGCCCUAUUGACUCCAGAAUAUCUAUCCUCUUAUCUUUUGUUUGUUUAACAUACAGCUGGCUUUUCCUAUCAGAUUGAACCACUCUCAUUUUCAGGACUCAUUAGAAGGUUUUGUUAAGAACCAUAACCAAGCAAGGGUUUGCGGGACUUAAAAUUACUUUAUUAAAGAAAUCUUUUGUCAACCAUAUGUUUUUUGUGAGGAAAAUAAGAGGAAAGAGGAGAAUUGGUAUUAUUUCUGCCUUGAAUUGUAUAUGAAAAAAGAGGAAAUAAAUUUUUUAAAAGAGCUUCAUCAAUUUACAUAUAAGAUAAAGACUUUAUUAAAAAUGAUUGCUGACCUGCUGCAGCAAGAAUCA